GACGAACGCUGGCGGCGUGCUUAACACAUGCAAGUCGAGCGGAAAGGGCUGUUUCGGGGGGUGCGCGCGUGGCGCACGGGUGAGUAACACGUGCGUAAUCUGCCCUUGAGUUUGGGAUACCUUCCGGAAACUGGGGCUAAUACCGGAUAGGAGCUCCUUCUGCUUUGUUGUGGUUUGAAGGUUUCGGCGGUUGGGGUUGGAGUCGCUGCGUAUCGUUUUGUUGGUUGGGAAGUGGCUUCCCAAGGCAUUGUGGGGUAGGCGGCCCAGGAGGGUGUACGGCCACACUGAGACGGAGACACCGGCCAGAAUCAGACGGGAGGCAGCAGUGGUGAAUAUUGCACAAUGGGUGGAAGGCCGAGGCAACGACGCCGUGUCCGUGGUGAGGGAACUCGUGUUGUACACCGCGUACGCCCAUGACGAAGCGGUGCGUGACGGUAGUGGAUAAAGAAGGACCGGCUAACUACGUG
rnacentral:rRNA from 1 species